rnacentral:tRNA from 1 species
GAGGGUAUAGCUCAGUGGUAGAGCACAUGCUUAGCAUGCAUGAGGUCCUGAGUUCAAGCCCCAGUACCUCCA